rnacentral:lncRNA from 10 species
AUAGACAAUUUAGAUUUAACAUCUGUGCCCUUAACCAACAGAAUCUAGCACAUGCUGGGCCCAUUAAGGCCCCUUAAAGAGCUUUCAGAAGACAACCUGGUACGAUGGCCCUGCCUUGUGUCACUAUUUUAUUCGGCAGUUCCAGCCUGGUUCUGUCACAUUGUCUCAUCACAAAAUUGGAUUGCACAGAACUCAAAUGGAGAGGACGUUCAAACUCAGGAAUGUGGAGCACUCAUCAUCUGCUGUGGUCAAAGAGACAAUCUGUGAAGAAAGUGAACAAGGCAGAUGGAGAUAAAUUCAAAAACAGAGAUCCGAAAGGCUGCUAAGAGAGAAAGGAACAGGAAUCUCCCAGUUCCUGAGAGCCUCCCAGGCUUUCUCCCUCGAUGUUUAGCCUGGCCAAAAUGGAAAACUGCAAGGUUCAAAUCCUGGAGUGCAGAAGAAGCAUUAGGCAUUGACCCUGUGGCUUCCUAAUAGAUCCGCAAAGUGCUUUGUUCCUGGAAAUCAUCCGAUGAGUAGUUCAGUGCUAUUGUAUAUCUUGUUAGAGCAGCCGAAGUGCCACAAAAUGAACUAAAAUCUCCCUGCAGAGUUGCUGUAUCAUAUGCUGAGAACAUUCGGAACUUUCAACAAAUUCAUGUUACGAUCCUGGGUAGCCAUGGUUAAAUCUGUACAGGGGUUAAAUGAGAAAUAUGAGCCUGCUGUUAAGUGUCUUCUGAGAGUGACAAAGCUCUGGCCAUAAGGGAUGGGAGAGGAGGGAUUUCUUCUCAGCCUUCCAGCCCUUUCCAGCUGUAUCACAGACAGGAGACAUAAUGCAAAGGGGCUCAGACAUUGACUUCCUGGAUCUUUGCGGCCCCAGGCAUUGACCCCCUCUACCUGGCUUUUCCUACGCUGUAAAAUGAGGAUCCUCCUAUAUUAUGGAGUUUAUUGUGACAACUAAAUAGCUGAGAAGAAGGACAUCUCAUUUGUUUUAACUAUGCAGUUUCCUGUCUAUCUAUCUAUCUAUCCCAUCAAUCUAUCAAUCAAUCUAUCAAUCUGUCUAUCCCUAUCUAUCUAUCCAUCUAUCUAUCUAUAUCUGUCUAUAUCUAUCUAACAUUUAUCUAUCAUCUAUUCAUCUAUCAGCUAUCUUCUGUCUAUCAAUAUUUCAAUCAAUCUCUCUAUCCCUAUCAAUUAAUCUAUCUACCUACCUAUCAACUAUCCAUCUAUCUCUAUCAUCUAUCAUCUAUUCAUCUAUCAUUUAUCAUCUGUCAAUCCAUCUUCCUACUAUCUAUCAAAAGCAACACAUUUUCUUCCUGACUUUAAAAAUAUUUAAGUGGGCCGGGAGGAUGGCUCACGCCUGUAAUCCCAGCACUUUGGGAGGCCUAGGCGGGCGGAUCACGAGGUCAGGAGAUGGAGACCAUCCUGGCUAACAUGGUGAAACCCCGUCUCUACUAAAAAUACAAAAAAAAAAAAAAAUUAACCAGGCGUGGUGGAGGGCGCCUGUAGUCCCAGCUACUCGGGAGACUGAGGCAGGAGAAUGGGGAGAACCCGGGAGGCGGAGCUUGCAGUGAGCCGAGAUCAUGCCACUGCACUCCAGCCUGGGCGACAGAGCAAGACUCCAUCUCAAAAGAAACAAAAACAAAAACGUAAGUGAUACUCUGUCCACUCUUUUGAUUGAGGAGGUCUGAUUUUCAGGCUUUGGAUUUUAUUAUGUCUUCAAUAUAAUAAUUGUUCCAUGUAUCUCUCCUAAAUUGCCAUUUGAAAAACUGCUUUUCUGAAGUUUAAAGUGCACAUUUUGAUACAUCUUGACACAUAUAUACACCCAUGAAAUCAUCACCACAAUCAGGAUAGUAGAUCUAUCCAUUACCGCCAAGGUUUACUUGCACUCCUUUGAACUUUCUCCCCACUCCUCACCCCCUGCCUAUCCCCAAUCCUUAAGCAAUCACUGAUUUGCUUUCUGUCACUAUCAGUUAAUUUGAAUUUUUCAGAAAUGUAUAUAAAUAAAAUCAUUCGACGUGUAUGCUCUUUUUCUGUUCACCCGGUACAAUUUGAGAUUUAGCCAUGUUUUUGCAUGUGUCAAUAGUUUAUUUUUUUGUUGCUCAGUACUAAUCCAUUUUAUGGAUACAGAGAAAUGUAUUAAUGCAAUCCCAUAUUAAUAGGCAUUUGGGUUGUUUCCAGGUUUGGGCUGUUACAAAUAAAGCUGCUAUGAACAUUUUUGUGCAAGUCUUUUUAUGAGUAUAUUCCUUUAUUUCUUUUGGGUAAAUACCUAGAAGUGGGAUGGGUGUAUCACAUGGUACGUAAAUAUUUAAAUUUUUAAGAGAAUGCCAAACUGUUUUUCAAAGUAAUUGCACCAUUUUAUAUUCCCACCAGGAAUAUAUGAGAAUUCCAGUUCCUCUACAUACUCACAGACAUAUUGUAUGGUCAGU